CCUGGCUCAAUCUUAGCAUCGGCGUGGGAGUUCGGGGCGGGAGGUCGUUUUUAGGGUUUGGGAGCUCGAGAACGAAGAGAUGAGGGCCAAGUGGAAGAAGAAGCGCAUGAGGAGAUUGAAGAGGAAGCGCCGAAAGAUGAGGCAGAGGUCGAAAUAAGCAAUGACAAGUUAAUCAGGAGAGCUUUCAUCACCUUGCCCCAAGCAUGUAGAAGUGAAGGGAUUUUGACUCCAUUGCCCUUCUGAUGUAUUGUGGGUGUUGCUGCUGAUGGAUGCGAGGUUCUCUUGUCAAAGCAGUAUUCCUUGUUUUUUUUUAAUUCUUUUCCAAGUAUCUUUCUUAAUUAGAUUGUUUGCACACUUAGAAGUGUUAAGAAAAUCCUCUUUGAUGUGGAAUUAAACUUAGCCCUAUCUAUCAUGAUUUUGGUUUAUUUUCGUUUGCAAGCAAUGUGGCAAGGAUGUUUUUUUUUUUAACUA